rnacentral:rRNA from 1 species
AACGAACGCUGGCGGCAUGCCUAACACAUGCAAGUCGAACGAGACCUUCGGGUCUAGUGGCGCACGGGUGCGUAACGCGUGGGAACCUGCCCUUAGGUUCGGAAUAACUCCCCGAAAGGGGUGCUAAUACCGGAUAAUGUCUUCGGACCAAAGAUUUAUCGCCUUUGGAUGGGCCCGCGUUAGAUUAGCUAGUUGGUAGGGUAAAAGCCUACCAAGGCGACGAUCCAUAGCUGGUCUGAGAGGAUGAUCAGCCACACUGGGACUGAGACACGGCCCAGACUCCUACGGGAGGCAGCAGUGGGGAAUAUUGGACGAUGGGCGAAAGCCUGAUCCAGCAAUGCCGCGUGAGUGAUGAAGGCCUUAGGGUUGUAAAGCUCUUUUACCCGGGAUGAUAAUGACAGUACCGGGAGAAUAAGCUCCGGCUAACUCCGUG